UACAGAGGUCCCGAGCGUUGUUCGGAUUCACUGGGCGUAAAGGGUGCGUAGGUGGUUGUGCAAGUCUGAUGUGAAAUCUCCGGGCUUAACCCGGAAAUGGCAUUGGAAACUGCAUGGCUAGAGUGUUGGAGGGGGGACUGGAAUUCCUGGUGUAGCGGUGGAAUGCGCAGAUAUCAGGAGGAACACCGGUGGCGAAGGCGGGUCUCUGGGCCGAUACUGACGCUGAGGAGCGAAAGCGUGGGGAGCGAACAGG
rnacentral:rRNA from 1 species